AUAUAUAUAUGUACCUUAGUGUUAAUUCCUCUAUAAAAGAAAGUAUCACUCCGGAAAAAUCAUUUAUUGUGAGAAUUAGCACUGGGAUCAAAUCCCCAAAGGAAUAUUGAAUUCUUUCUUAUCAAUAAAUUGAUUUUUUUCAGCAUAGCUUAUGAACAUGCAUUAUGGCUUUUCAAUUGUCUGCAAACCAACCAACAUUUCAAAUGGACAAAGAGGGACCCUUUCAUUUUAGGGGUGUGAUUGGGGGUGUGGCCAGGAGUGGAGCUGUUCUGUGAAAUUUUAGGUGACUUACUAAUACUGUCAUAAUUAAUGCAACUAAAAUGCAGUUUAGAAAAAGAGCAAUGUAUCUUAUUUACACAGACUGAUUUCUAAACACUCUUAUUGUAGUCUAAAGACACAUUACUGUAAGUAAUAUUUCUAUGGAGCUCUGUUUUACACUCAAACACACACACAAUCCUAGAAAAGACAUUAAGAUAGAAAAGAGGGACAGAGGCAGUGGGCUUAAAAUAAGGCAUGUUCCUCCUAAAUAAGAACACUCGGGAGGCAUGUGUCUGUGCAGUUAGGCCAAGGAUCAUGUGCUGUUAAGUCCCUUGUGGAGCAUGAUGCUGUAUAUCUUAAAGGAACACUCCAAUCUCUAGAAAAACUACAGUUCACUGGGUGCCGAUCCCUGCCUCCAUUAUUUCCAGUAAAGAGCUGAAAGUUCCUAAGUAGGAUCUCUCUCAGCGAGUGAGCUAAGCCCUCAGUUUAGAAGUUUUCUGAAUGUUUAAAAUUCAUCCCUUGAUUGCACCAAAUGUAUAACUCUUCUGUGUUCUAGGAUCAUUGUAUUGUAAAACCUGCUACUAUAUGUAGUGAGGAAAAUGGCACCAUCUUUAAAGAAAUGAGGUGAAGUGCGUUACUGAUAUCUGGCACCCGUCAACGCUAUGAGAAUUCUAUAAAUGUUUACACUUUGUUACAUUUCAGUAGGUUCGUAUAACUUCCAUGUGGGCAGUUGUACUAUGUACAACUAUGUACUUUGUGGAACUUUACGCUGUUAUUAUAUCUUUACUGUAACCAAUCUCUUUUCAUGGGGUAUAAAUGGCUAGAACCUACGAUUGUUGACAAUAACAGUUACACAGUUGCCAAAGAUAGUGUGAAUUUAACUCUCCAAUAUGUAUGGUGAUUGUUUAGAUAAAAUCCUUACAUUUCUGAAUACUACUGUAUAUAUGUAACUAUGUGCUAUAGUUAUACAUACAAAUACAGUUAUGUAUAAACACUGCAAGGGCUCAUUAAAGUGUGUGUGUUGCACACAAAUAGGGUAUUCUUUGCACUCUCCUUGCAGUAUAACAAAGUUAAAUCCGCUUGGAUGCUACCCGCGUUGACAAUAUAGAUAUUAGGAUAAAGGGCGCACUAAUUCACUAAUGUGAAAGAAAAAAUUACACCUGUAAAACAAUUGAUGUUUUAACCCUAAACUGAUCGUUUCCAAGAUAUAUAGUAUCUAUAUUUAUAUACAGAUACACCGUGUAAACGAAUUGCAGGAAAAAUAUCAUUAUGCUCAAGGGUUUGUUUUUUACAAAUUUGAAUUACCAUUAACUCAAAUAAAUAUGCUUUCUUUGUGUAUGCGCAUAUAGCAUAUAGCAUAUACAUAUGGAUCUCUAUCCCAGCCUUUUAGAGUGCAGAGUGUGGUUGCCGUUUACUACAUAUAAAUAAUAAUAAUAAUCCGCUUGACCCUGCAAAGUGAAUAUGGCAAUUACCAAUUUCAAGCAUCUAUAGUGAAUACAUUUGAGUUCUGACUUUGAUAGCACUGAGUAGACUGAGCCAUUAAUUGGUUGGUGUUGUAUCAUUAUUCCCUUUUUACACAGUUAAUAUCUGAAUUCACCACGGUCCUUAAAGCAGAGAGCAUGUUGUUCUAACUAAUUUUUUUUGUUUUUUUUAAUCAGCUGUACUCUGUCUUAUUUUAUUAGAAAGCGUAUUAAUGUGGUUAGCAUUUUGACUGUUCUGUAUGGUGCUAAAUGUAAAGCUAACUAUAGUUAAUAUGAUGGUUUGUACUAAGGGCAAUUCUGGGGCACCAUUGAGCAAUCUAUAUGGAACCAGUGUGAUGUUCAGAUCUUAGAACAUUGCUGUUUAUAUAUUUACCCUUUAGCCUAUUUGUAGUCUGCUACAGUACACCUACUCUGAAAUUUGUGGUGUCAUAGCUGCUGAUUGGGGCUGUUCCAAGCUUGUUUAGUAGUCAUUUAACAAAACAACUUAUCUGUAUUUGUACUUCACUCGGCGUAUGAAAAUUAAUGAAUUCUUUUAAAGUGGAAUUCUUCACAGUUUUUUAAUGUUUACUUAUCCACUAUAUUUCAUAAAUAUGUUUACGAGGUCUGAACAUUUAAAUUAAACAAAGAAAGCUGCACAACAGUAUUUAUCUUCAUCCUCGAACUAGAUCCAUCUUGUCUUCCGGAGAAUCAUUGCUAUGAACUCUGCCUCUUUCUGUCUUUAGCAUAAUAUGUGAAGGUGGAGAAUAAAAAAACGAAAUAAUAUUUCUCCGUUAUCAUCUGUGCAUUGGCUGUGCCGAGACUAAAUUAAAUUGUGAUGUUAAUUGCUAAAUAUUUAAUAUAAAUAAAAAAUUGAGCUUCACACGAAAAGGGUAACUCAAGUUUCAGUGGUUUAUCAAGGUUUUAUUAUUAACAGAAGACAUUGUUGAUUGAUUGUGGUACGAACCCUAUGUUAACAAAGAAUCAAGUAUAAUGAAGCAUAUCUAAAAAAAAAAUUUUACAGGGGCAUGGUCACGUAGCUUUUAUUUACAUUCAGCACAAUAACACAUUAAUACUAUUUUCAUCUAGCCAAAUUAUUGAAAUUCGAUUUGCCACUUUUAACAUUUUAGUUUGGCAUUUUUACUUUCAUUUUAUUGCGAUGGCUUUGAGGUUACCGUCUUGGAAUUACAUCACAGUUUUCUAAACUUUAUUGACAUUGAUAGAAAAUGUACAGAAACCAUUUAUAUCUGAUAUGUUGAAUAGCUUCCAGCUUUCCUCCGUGCAGUAAUGAGUAAAAGGUUUUAGGAACUACUUAAUGAUGCUGCAUAUCUACUAUAACUAGACUUGUGCGUGGUGAAAAACUUCAGUUAGUCUGACUACAUUUGGACAGAAAAUAAUUUUGUUUUGGCUGCACCAAAUUAUGGUCAAUAUUUCCAUUUGGACAAAUGGAAUGCUGCAAUCUCCUGCAAAUCUUUCAAUGGUUAAGUAGUGUAGAUACAUCCCUUAUUUAGUGUCCUUAGAUGGGGUUGCCAUAGUUAAGUGCACGCAAUUAGGUGGCUAUUUACUAAACAUAACCGCUCCCUAAUUUACAGUGAUAUCCUUAAAUAUGGGAAUGCCCCAUAAAGGAACCAAUUUAAUUUACAAGAAUGAGCGAAGUAACGAAUUGCGCAUUGAAGAAUUUAGAAAUUAUUUUUGUCUAACUGUAACCAAGGGAAGCAAUGAAUUGCUAGAUAUUUAUUAUCUUUAUUAAUAGCACAAACUGCUGAACUAUAUAUACAGUAUCUUACAAAAGUGAGUACACCCCUCACAUUUUUGUAAAUAUUUUAUUAUAUCUUUUCAUGUGACAACACUGAAGAAAUGACACUCUGCUACAAUGUAAAGUAGUAAGUGUACAGCCUGUAUAACAGUGUAAAUUUGCUGUCCCCUCAAAAUAACUCAACACACAGCCAUUAAUGUCUAAACCAUUGGCAACAAAAGUGAGUGCACCCCUAAGUGGGAUUGUCCACAUUGAGCCCAAAGUGUCAAUAUUUUGUGUGGCCACCAUUAUUUUACAGCACUGCCUUAACCCUCAUGGGCAUGGAGUUCACCAGAGCUUCACUGGAGUCCUCUUUCACUCCUCCAUGAUGACAUCACGGAGCUGGUGGAUGUUAGAGACCUUGCGCUCCCCCACCUUCCGUUUGAAUAUGCCCCACAGAUACUCAAUAGUGUUUAGAUCUGGAGACAUGCUUGGCCAGUCCAUCACCUUUACCUUCAGCUUCUUUAGCAAGGCAGUGGUCAUCUUGUAGGUGUGUUUGAUGUAUUUAUCAUGUUGGAAUACUGCCCUGCAGCCCAGUGUCUGAAGGGAGGGGAUCAUGCUCUGCUUCACUAUGUCACAGUACAUGUUGGCAUUCAUGGUUCCCUCAAUGAACUGUAGCUUCCCAGUGCCGGCAGCACUCAUGCAGGCCCAGACAUUGACACUCCCAUCACCAUGCUUGACUGUAGGCAAGACACACUUGUCUUUGUACUCCUCACCUGGUUUCCGCCACACACGCUUGACACCAUCUGAACCAAAUAAGUUAAUCUUGGUCUCAUCGGACCAAAGGACAUGGUUCCAGUAAUCCAUGUCCUUAGUCUGCUUGUCUUCAGCAAACUGUUUGCAGGCUUUCCUGUGCAUCAUCUUUAGAUGAGGCUUUCUUCUGGGACGACAGCCAUGCAGACCAAUUUGAUGACCCCCCCACCCCUUCAACCUCUGCAGCAAUGCUGGCAACACUCAUGUCUAUUUCCCAAAGACAACCUCUGGAUAUGACGCUGAGCACGUGCACUGAACUUCUUUGGUUGACCAUGGCGAGUCCUGUUCUGAGUGGAACCUGUCCCGUGAAACUACUGUAUGGUCUUUCCCACCGUGCUGCAGCUCAGUUUCAGGGUCUUGGAAAUCUUCUUUUCAGAUCCUCAGAGAGUUCUUUUCCAUGCAGUGCCAUGUUGAACUUCCAGUGACCAGUAUGAGAGUGUGUGAGAGCAAUGACACCAAAUUUAACACACCUGCUCCCCAUUCACACCUGAGACCUUGUGACACUAACGAGUCACAUGACACCAGGGAGGGGAAAUAGCUUAUUGGGCGCAAUUUGGACAUUUCCAUUUAGGGGUGUACUCACUUUUGUUGCCAAUGGCUUAGACAAUUAAUGGUUGUGUGUUGAGUUAUUUUGAGGGGACAGCAAAUUUACAAUGUUAUACAGGCUGUACACUUACUACUUUACAUUGUAGUAGUGUCAUUUCUUCAGUGUGGUCACAUGAAAUGAUAUAAAAAAAAAAUAUGUACAAGAAUGUGAGGGGUUUACUCACUUUUGUGAGAUACUGUGUGUGUGUAUGUAUAUACAUAUAUAUAUACUCAGAUACUGUAUAUGCUAUUUUUAAAGUAUCAUAUGAUGUGUAGACAAUGUAAGAUGACUGUGGCAUGUGAAUAAUUCAUCUCUAUAACUUUGUAACAUCUCUGCUACUCCAAGAAAAGAAUUCAGAAUAUUUUUUGGGAAUUUGGAUAUAAUAUCACUUUAACUGCACAUAACUUGGAAUGCUACUGUAUUAAUACAAACUGCACUAUAUUAGAGAAAUAGUAAAAUAUAUAAAUAUAUAUAUAUAAAUCCAUUGAGGAUUGUAUAAAAAAAA
rnacentral:lncRNA from 1 species